CCUACGGGUGACAGCAGUGGGGAAUAUUGCACAAUGGGGGAAACCCUGAUGCAGCAACGCCGCGUGAAGGAAGACGGUUUUCGGAUUGUAAACUUCUGUUCUCAGGGAAGAGGAAUAACGGUGCUAAAGAGCAAAGCACCGCCUAACUACGUGCAAGAAGCCGCGGUAAUACGUAGGUGGCAAGCGUUGUCCGGACUUACUGGGUGUAAGGGAAGCGCAGGCGGGAAGCAAAGUCAGCUGUGAAAACUACGGGCUUAACUUGUAGACUGCAGUUGAAACUGGUUUUCUUGAGUGAAGUAGAGGUUAGCGGAAUUCCGGGUGUAGCGGUGAAAUGCGUAGAUAUUCGGAGGAACACCGGUGGCGAAGGCGGCCAACUGGGCUUUAACUGACGCUGAGGCUCGAAAGUGUGGGGAGCAAACAGGAUUAGAUACCCUAGUAGUC
rnacentral:rRNA from 1 species